UUUAAGGUCUAAUCUGCCCUAUGAGGAGUUAAAUGGCCGCGGUACUUUGACCGUGCAAAGGUAGCAUAAUAAUUAGUUUUUUAAUUGAAAGCUGGAAUGAAUGAUUGGACGAGAAAAUAACUGUCUCAAUUUAAAUUUAUUAGAAUUUUAUUUUUAAGUAAGAAAGCUUAAAUUUAAUUAAAAGACGAGAAGACCCUAUAGAGUUUUAUAUUUGAUUUAUUUUUAAUUUUUUAGUAUUAUUACAUUAAUAUUAAGUUAAAUAUUUUGUUGGGGCGAUAGGAAAAUAUUAUUAACUUUUUUUAAAAAGAAAUUCAUUGAUUUAUGAUUAUUUGAUCCAUUAUUUAUGAUUAAAAGAAUAAGUUACCUUAGGGAUAACAGCGUAAUUUUUUUUUAGAGUUCUUAUCGAAAGAAGGGAUUGCGACCUCGAUGUUGGAUUAAAAUAAAUGUUUGGUGUAGGGGCUAGAUAAUUAGGUCUGUUCGACCUUUAAAAUUUUACA
rnacentral:rRNA from 1 species